UACGAAGGGGGCUAGCGUUGCUCGGAAUGACUGGGCGUAAAGGGCGCGUAGGCGGCUUGUAUAGUCAGAUGUGAAAUUCCUGGGCUCAACCUGGGGGCUGCAUUUGAUACGUAUGGGCUUGAGUGGGGAAGAGGGUCGUGGAAUUCCCAGUGUAGAGGUGAAAUUCGUAGAUAUUGGGAAGAACACCGGUGGCGAAGGCGGCGACCUGGUCCUUGACUGACGCUGAGGCGCGAAAGCGUGGGGAGCAAACAGG
rnacentral:rRNA from 1 species